CCUACGGGGGGCAGCAGUCGAGAAUCAUUCACAAUGGGGGAAACCCUGAUGGUGCGACGCCGCGUGGGGGAAUGAAGGUCUUCGGAUUGUAAACCCCUGUCAUGUGGGAGCAAAUUAAAAAGAUAGUACCACAAGAGGAAGAGACGGCUAACUCUGUGCCAGCAGCCGCGGUAAUACAGAGGUCUCAAGCGUUGUUCGGAAUCACUGGGCGUAAAGGGUGCGUAGGCUGUUUCGUAAGUCGGGUGUGAAAGGCGCGGGCUCAACCCGCGGACGGCACAUGAUACUGCGAGACUAGAGUAAUGGAGGGGGAACCGGAAUUCUCGGUGUAGCAGUGAAAUGCGUAGAUAUCGAGAGGAACACUCGUGGCGAAGGCGGGUUCCUGGACAUUAACUGACGCUGAGGCACGAAGGCCAGGGGAGCGAAAGGGAUUAGAUACCCGUGUAGUC
rnacentral:rRNA from 1 species